rnacentral:rRNA from 1 species
AGUGGCGCACGGGUGAGUAACGCGUAAGUAACCUAUCCUUUUAUUGGGGAUAACAGAUCGAAAGGUCUGCUAAUACCGAAUAAUCUCUGGUGACGCGAGUUAUUGGAGGAAAGGCAACCUCUUGUUCAAAGUUGCUGUAGGGGGAGGGGCUUGCGUACCAUUAGCUAGUUGGUGGGGUAAAGGCUCACCAAGGCGACGAUGGUUAGCGGGUCUGAGAGGAUGAUCCGCCACACUGGAACUGGAACACGGACCAGACUCCUACGGGAGGCAGCAGUGAGGAAUAUUGCGCAAUGGGGGCAACCCUGACGCAGCGACGCCGCGUGAGUGAAGAAGGCCUUCGGGUUGUAAAGCUCUGUCGGGAGGGAAGAAUGGUUAGGCGGUUAAUAGUCGUUUAGCUUGACGGUACCUUCAAAGGAAGCACCGGCUAACUCCGUGCCAGCAGCCGCGGUAAUACGGAGGGUGCGAGCGUUAAUCGGAAUUACUGGGCGUAAAGGGCGCGUAGGCGGUUUUAUAAGUCAGAUGUGAAAGCCCACGGCUUAACCGUGUGAAGUGCAUCUGAAACUGUGAGGCUAGAGUACCGGAGGGGAAGGUGGAAUUCCCGGUGUAGAGGUGAAAUUCGUAGAUAUCGGGAGGAAUACCGGUGGCGAAGGCGAUCUUCUGGACGGGUACUGACGCUGAGGCGCGAGAGCAUGGGGAGCAAACAGGAUUAGAUACCCUGNNAGUCCACAGCUGUAAACUAUGUGCACUAGAUGUAGGCGGNAAUUGACCCCGUCUGUGUCGUCGCUAACGCAUUAANUGCACCGCCUGGGGAGUACGGCCGCAAGGUUAAAACUCAAAU